rnacentral:rRNA from 1 species
UACGUAGGGUGCAAGCGUUGUCCGGAAUUAUUGGGCGUAAAGAGCUCGUAGGCGGUCUGUCGCGUCGAAUGUGAAAACCCGGGGCUCAACCCCGGGCCUGCAUUCGAUACGGGCAGACUAGAGUUCGGUAGGGGAGUCUGGAAUUCCUGGUGUAGCGGUGAAAUGCGCAGAUAUCAGGAGGAACACCGGUGGCGAAGGCGGGACUCUGGGCCGAUACUGACGCUGAGGCGCGACAGCGUGGGGAGCAAACAGG